GACGAACCACACAAACGUUAUUCGGAAUUACUGGGCUUAAAGGGUGCGUAGGCUGUGCAGAAAGUUAGGUGUGAAAUCCCCCGGCUCAACCGGGGAAUUGCGCUAAAACUACUGUGCUAGAGGAAGACAGAGGUGAGCGGAACUUCGGGUGGAGCGGUGAAAUGCGUUGAUAUCCGAAGGAACACCGGUGGCGAAAGCGGCUCACUGGGUCUUUUCUGACGCUGAUGCACGAAAGCUAGGGGAGCAAACGGG
rnacentral:rRNA from 1 species